UUAGACCAGUUCCGUAGCAGGUUUCUUAAUCUCAACAGCAUUUAGAAAGACGAGAUUGAGAAUCUCCCUCAGUGGUCCUUUCAAACGAAAGUAAUAAAUUCGAAAUAAAAAUAGGAAGCCCACCAGUGCGAAGAAUGAAACACACAUAGUUGUCAGAAUAGCGCUUCCUUCUGAUCCUAGAAAACGUUUGAAAAAAUGGGCUACGGAACUACCGAGCAGGAGUAACAAUAGUCGAACUAGAUUGUUAAUAACAUAAUUUUUCAUAAAUUUGAGAUUUUUUCGUUUUUUUUCUUUAUCAGAGAGGGGCCCCGUUAGGGGUAUUUAGUAACUCGAGCAUUUCUUGUUUACUCGAACAGCAAAGGAGAGGUGCUUUAGCAACUCGACUGAAAGGAGAGGCCAAGGACGGGGUCGAACCGUCAUUCCAGGAUUUGCAGUCCGAUACAUUGCCAUUAUGUUACCUAGCCAAACCCGCCACCUCAUGUGCCAAAGUCAAACGGUCGUCCGAAAAGACCAGCUAAGCAUCAUCGGCUUGGUCAGCCUUUACCUAACCAACUACCUAAUACUACGCAUGCUCAUCAAACAGCGCUUUCUAGCUUUCUUCGGGAUUUAGCCCGAACUGUUCGGCAGAUUCCCACGCCUUACGCACCCGUUCGCCACUUUGUUCACAACUCUUCCCACCUCUUGGGUGAGACAAGCUACCUUGAGCUAGGAGCCUCCAUUCCUUCUGACUAGCUCCCAGGGAACAACGUUCGACUUGCAUGUGUUAAGCAUAUAGCUAGCGUUCCUUCUGAGCCAGGAUCAAA